CAUCACUUUUAUUAUAAUAUUAAUAAAACUAUUAAAGAAAACGUAUAACAUCUAAUCUUAACACAUCGGCCAUCGAUCCCUUCGUCAGAUUCAUGAGAUAGCCACGACCAGAACCGGCUGGGCCGCCAUAUUGAAUCUGAUUGACAGCUGUCAAUGUUGGCGGCACCACGACGCGUCACCGUGGCCGCGCUUUGCAGUACAAAUACUAAUAACAUUUAAACAAAAAUGUAUAUUUAAACUUUUAGUAAAUAGGCAACUUGGAGCCUGAUAAUAAUAUAGAAACGAGGAAAACCGCCCAAUAGAAAUCUGUGAAAAAUGAUUAGGUAUAGAGUUGGUCACAUAAUGUUGCAUGACACAGAUCGUGUAAAUAUCUGUCUCUCUCUGAAAAAGAAAUGGAAAGAGAAAGAAACAUAGAAUCAAAAACAAUUAACACAAAUAAUUUAUAAUUUAUAAUCUGCUAGAUUACAGCAACCGAAAGAAAUUUCUUCAUAAUGAAAAUGGGGUGUAUUUUCAUUGUAGCUACUACUACCUCCGUGAAAUUUUUUUGGUCAAUAUUUUAUUACAAUUAUUACUGUGUAAAUAAAUAAAUAAAUGUAUAAAUUUUA